CAGUAGCCGCGGUAAUACGAAGGGUGCAAGCGUUAAUCGGAAUUACUGGGCGUAAAGCGUGCGUAGGCGGUCUGUUAAGUCUGCUGUGAAAUCCCCGGGCUCAACCUGGGAAUGGCAGUGGAUACUGGCAAGCUAGAGUGUGUCAGAGGAUGGUGGAAUUCCCGGUGUAGCGGUGAAAUGCGUAGAGAUCGGGAGGAACAUCAGUGGCGAAGGCGGCCAUCUGGGACAACACUGACGCUGAGGCACGAAAGCGUGGGGAGCAAACAGGAUUAGAUACCCCGGUAGUCCCUGUCUCUUAUAC
rnacentral:rRNA from 1 species